rnacentral:rRNA from 1 species
CCUACGGGGGGCAGCAGUGGGGAAUAUUGGGCAAUGGGCGCAAGCCUGACCCAGCAACGCCGCGUGAAGGAAGAAGGCUUUCGGGUUGUAAACUUCUUUUGACAGGGAAGAGUAGAAGACGGUACCUGUCGAAUAAGCCACGGCUAACUACGUGCCAGCAGCAGCGGUAAUACGUAGGUGGCAAGCGUUGUGCGGAUUUACUGGGUGUAAAGGGCGUGUAGCCGGGUUGACAAGGCAGAUGUGAAAGCCUGCGGCUUAACCGCAGAACUGCAUUUGAAACUGUUGGUCUUGAGUACUGGAGAGGCAGACGGAAUUCGUGGUGUAGCGGUGAAAUGCGUAGAUAUUAGGAAGAACACCGGUGGCGAAGGCAGUCUACUAGACAGCAACUGACGGUGAGGCGCGAAAGCGUGGGGAGCAAACAGGAUUAGAUACCCUAGUAGUC